UGAGCAACCUGCCCUCAGCUUUGGGAUAACCCUACGGAAACGGGGGCUAAUACCGGAUAUUCACUGCUUCGCGCAUGUGGGGUGGUGGAAAGUUUUUCGGCUGGGGAUGGGCUCGCGGCCUAUCAGCUUGUUGGUGGGGUGAUGGCCUACCAAGGCGACGACGGGUAGCCGGCCUGGAGNGGCGCCG
rnacentral:rRNA from 1 species